rnacentral:misc_RNA from 1 species
UUUGAACAGCGAAGCCAUCAAACGGUAGGGAUGGUGUGGAGUGUGUUUCUCUCAAGUUAUGAAACGGGGUUUCGUUCGUUGCUGGCUUUGAUUAUUAUUUUUCUUUGAUAGUGUUUCAAGAUACCUUUGUUUUUUAUUUUUUUUAAUGAACAGUGUUCUUCGGGCUAUGACUCUGGGUUUUAUUCUAUAGCAUCUUUAGUGACGA